rnacentral:rRNA from 1 species
AGUGAACGCUGGCGGUAGGCCUAACACAUGCAAGUCGAACGGCAGCACAGUAAUAGCUUGUUCUUACGGGUGGCGAGUGGCGGACGGGUGAUGAAUACAUCGGAAUCUACUUUUUCUUGGGGGAGAACGUAGGGAAACUUACGCCAAUACCGCAUACGACCUACGGGUGAAAGCAGGGGAUCUUCCGACCUUGCGCGAUUGAAUGAGCCGAUGUCGGAUUAGCUAGUUGGCGGGGUAAAGGCCCACCAAGGCGACGAUCCGUAGCUGGUCUGAGAGGAUGAUCAGCCACACUGGAACUGAGACACGGUCCAGACUCCUACGGGAGGCAGCAGUGGGGAAUAUUGGACAAUGGGCGCAAGCCUGAUCCAGCCAUGCCGCGUGUGUGAAGAAGGCCUUCGGGUUGUAAAGCCCUUUUGUUGGGAAAGAAAAGCAGCAGGUUAAUACCUCGCUGUUCUGACGGUACCAAAAGAAUAAGCACCGGCUAACUUCGUG